UCAGAUUGCAGGCUGCAAACCCGCCCUGCAUGAAGUCGGAAUUGCUAGUAAUCGCGGAUCAGCAUGCCGCGGUGAAUACGUUCCCGGGCCUUGUACACACCGCCCGUCACACCAUGGGAGCCGGUAAUACCCGAAGUCAGUAGUCCAACCACGUGAGGACGCUGCCGAAGGUAGGAUUGGCGACUGGGGUGAAGUCGUAACAAGGUAAC
rnacentral:rRNA from 1 species